rnacentral:misc_RNA from 1 species
AACUUUUGACAAUGGAUCUCUUGGUUCUGGCAUCGAUGAAGAACGCAGCGAAAUGCGAUAAGUAAUGUGAAUUGCAGAAUCCAGUGAAUCAUCGAAUCUUUGAACGCACAUUGCGCCCGCCAGUAUUCUGGCGGGCAUGCCUGUCUGAGCGUCAUUUCAACCCUCGCAGCCAGCUUGCUGGAUGCGGUGUUGGGGAUCGGCCACCCGUAUCGGGAGGCCGUCCCUUAAAUAGAGUGGCGGUUGCGCUGUGACCUCCUCUGCGUAGUAGCAAUAUCUCGCAGGCGGAUAGCGGUGUAACCACGCCGUAAAACCCCCAACUCUUCUUUGGUUGACCUCAGAUCAGGUAGGAAUACCCGCUGAACUUAAGCAUAUCAAUAAGCGGAGGCU